rnacentral:lncRNA from 1 species
UAUUUGCAGUUGUGCCUGCUUUCUGUUUAUGGACAGGUACUUAUCCUGCUAUUCAGAAUAGAUAGGCAUGAUGGCAGGUCCUCAGUGAAGAGCAGCAGGCGGGUUUCCUUCACGUGUUUAUCUUUGUUAGAACAUGAUGCAUUACGGAUUUAUUACAACAAAAUCAAACCUUAAAAGUUCAGCAAGGUGGUCAGUUAUAAACUAAAGAUACAAAAGGUAAUAGUUAAUAAAUUGCUCUAAAAUGUCAUUUUAAAAGAUGGUACUAUUCACAAAGAAAUAAGUUAGUAAGAAAUACAUAGGACCUCUAUGAGGAAAACUCUUAAGGGAAAUUAAAGAAGAUUGGAAGACACUUUUUUGGAUGAGGAGAUUGUUCAUCAAAUUCUCCCCCAAAUUAUGAAUUUAACAAAACCAAAACUGUUUGCAUAUAUUUGUUUGCUUGUGUAUAUGUUUGCAUUUUAAACCAUAUCUUGAAAUAAUAAGUAUGAGGAUAGCCAAGAAAUUUCAUAGAAAAACAACAGGAGGGACUUGUACAUCCGAUAUUACAGAGUACAGCAGGACUCCAGUAACUAAAACUGUAACUCGUGCAGAAAUUCAUAUAAACCAAUGAAAGAGUUGGGAGUCCAGAACAAUUCCAAUUGUAAGAAGAAAUGGUGAAUUUUUCAAUUCAGUGAUGGUGUAUAACUGGUUUUCUAUGUGAGAAAGGCAGUACAGCAAAACAAGUAAGUACAGAGACUAAAGACACUACAUGUGUUAAAAUCUGAACUUGCUAAUAAUACUCACUACCUGUGACCUUACACAAGUUACGUAACCACUCUGUGCCUCACUUUCUUCAUCUCUUCUCCCCACCGAUGGCACUAUCAAGGGUUAGGUAGAUUAAUAUUUGUAGAAGGCUCAGAGGAGAACCAGUUCUACAGAAGUUACCUACUAAGUAUCAGCCAUUGUUCUAUCAUUUAAGAAAAAAAGAAGUCCAAUCCUUAUCUUCUACCCAAUAUACACCCUACUAAAUUCAAGUGGAUUAAAGUUUUUUUUUUUUAAUUUCUAAAAUACUAGAGAAAAGAUGGGUAAACUUUUUAUCUAAAAUAACCUUGGGUCAGAAAAAACCUAAAUGAUAUCAAAGCCAAAAAACAUGAAAACUUGAUUAAUUUGCCUCUAUAAAAAUAAUGUUAGAAAAGUACAAACAACUAGGGAAGUACAUUUAUAAUGCAUCUUAGAGCAGAGAAGUUAGCAUCAUUAGUAAAAGCUUUAAAAUAAAUUGUUUUUUAAGAACAUGCAAUUUGAGGGGCGCCUGGGUGGCUCAGUUGGUUGGGCAUCUGACUUGAUUUCGGCUCAGGUCAUGAUCUCAGGAUCAUGAGAUUGAGCCCCAUGUCAGGCUCUGCACUGGUUCUGGAGCCUGCUCGAGAUUCUUUCCCUCUCCCUUUGCCCCCCACUUUUCUAAAAAAAAAAAAAUAUAUAUAUAUAUAUAUAUAUAUAUAUAUAUAUAUAUAUAUGUAUAUAUGUAUAUACACACACACACACACACACACAAUUCAGUAAGUGCUGUUAGUGUCCACCAAAUCCCUUUGACCAGGCUGGUGUUCCCUCCAGCUGCUUCAGAUUUGGGUACUAAUGGUUUAUCUUCACCCUUCCCCAGAGCAUUGCCCUUAGCUGAUGUAGUCACUUUACCCAAAAGAUGCCCCCACCCCUUGAGGUCGGCCCAUGGCCAAUGCCUGAUGCAGGGUGUUAUCACCUGACCCUCUGGCCUCUAUGGCAUGAUUUAUGCCCCUGAGCUGGAAUAAGGCUGAGGAGAUACUUCUGAAAGCAUAUCUUUGCCUGUUUCUUCUCCUGCCCUGUCCUGUCUCUCCUUGCCUUGUAGAGCAUGCUCAAUAAAUCACUAACACAAAAAUCCUCAUUUCAAGUGCUGCUUCCAGGGAACCUGACUUAAUAGAAAAUUGCGCAGGAAAAUGUUCAGUAAACAUGAAGAUGCUGACCUUUUUUAGUAAUCAGGGAAAAUUCACCAAAAAUGUAUCUUGCCGGUCAGGUUAAAAGGUAAAAGAUAUGUAAAAUGAGAAUUCAUGAUUUGGGGGAAAGACAAUAACAUGGAAGGGAUAUAAUUUGAUACCAACCUUACAGAUUCUUCUGUGAAUAUGUUUCUUCAGAACUAGCUAGUUAGGUAUAAAGGGUGUGUGGAUAAGGGUAUUCAUUGCAACAAUGUCUAAAAUAAUGGGAAAAUGGAAGCAACCCAAAUGCCCAGUAGUAGAACUGAAUGGUCCACUGUAAAUUGAAACAAGAAUCCCACUUAUAAAGAUGUCUCGAAUAAGUCGUUCAAUUGAAAACAAAGUCACAAAACUAAAUGUAUAGUGCCUAUAUGUAAUGUGCCAGAAAUAACCAGUACCAUGAAAUAAAGAUUAUGGGG